rnacentral:tRNA from 1 species
GUGGGCGUAACUCAAUUGGUAGAGUAUCUGCCUUCCAAGCAGAUUGUCGCCGGUUCGAUUCCGGCCGCCCGCU